rnacentral:rRNA from 1 species
UACGUAGGGUGCGAGCGUUGUCCGGAAUUACUGGGCGUAAAGAGCUCGUAGGUGGUUUGUCGCGUUGUCCGUGAAAACUCACAGCUUAACUGUGGGCGUGCGGGCGAUACGGGCAGACUGGAGUACUGCAGGGGAGACUGGAAUUCCUGGUGUAGCGGUGGAAUGCGCAGAUAUCAGGAGGAACACCGGUGGCGAAGGCGGGUCUCUGGGCGGUAACUGACGCUGAGGAGCGAAAGCGUGGGGAGCGAACAGG